GAUGAAGAACGUAGCGAAAUGCGAUAACUAAUGUGAAUUGCAGAAUUCAGUGAAUCAUCGAGUCUUUGAACGCACAUUGCGCCCCCUGGUAUUCCGGGGGGCAUGCCUGUCCGAGCGUCAUUGCUGCCCUCAAGCACGGCUUGUGUGUUGGGCUCCGUCCCCCCGGGGACGGGCCCGAAGGGCAGCGGCGGCACCGAGUCCGGUCCUCGAGCGUAUGGGGCUUUGUCACCCGCUCUGUAGGCCCGGCCGGCGCCAGCCGACAACCCAUCAUCCUUUUCAGGUUGACCUCGGAUCAGGUAGGGAUACCCGCUGAACUUAAGCAUAUCAAUAAGCGGAGGA
rnacentral:misc_RNA from 1 species